GGUGAUCCUUCGCAGUUCAUGUCAAGCGCCCGUUGAGGCUGCGUCGCUGCGCAUCAAAGACGUUUCAAGGGUUGUCGUCUGACCAGUGCUGGGGCAUAACAGCAAGAAGUUGUGCUUCGUCACCCACUCUCGCACUUUUCUGAACUCUCCAGAUUCUUGUGCAGAGGACAUUCCGGCCAGGAAAAGCCACCGAUUAACAGGCUGGUCGUACUGUGGUGCCUAAAAGUCCACAAGUAUAACCGGCAAAACACAAAAAAUUGAAUAAGUCGAGGCGGAAGUAUACACCGAGGAAAAAACAGAAUAUCAGCCUGACUUCCCGAACGUAAGGGGAGACGACUGAAAGAAAUAGUGGCAACCUGAUCUAGGUGCUUCUAUGGCUGUAGUCUGCAGACCCGUGUUCACAAACGUAGUGCUGAGUGAAUUACUGAUAGCUGUGAGGCAACACUUUAAUUUUGUGUUGUGUAAAAUAUGACUGUAAAAAUUGUAAGAUUUUGUUGCUGUUGUAGUCCUUAUUUAAUUACAUGAGACAUGGAUGUCUCAAAUUUUCAGAAAUAUGCCUUUUUAAAAUGCUAUAGUUAUAUGUACUGGAAUAGCUUGAAUAUUGUAAAUUGGUGUACUAAGCACUGAUGUAAAUAAAUUAUUAUAAUAUUAAAA
rnacentral:lncRNA from 1 species